UACGAAGGGGGCUAGCGUUGCUCGGAAUCACUGGGCGUAAAGCGCACGUAGGCGGCUUCGCAAGUCGGAUGUGAAAUCCCUCGGCUCAACCGAGGACGUGCAUACGAAACUGCGAAGCUUGAGUACUGAAGAGGAUCGCGGAAUUCCCGGUGUAGAGGUGAAAUUCGUAGAUAUCGGGAGGAACACCAGUGGCGAAGGCGGCGAUCUGGGCAGAUACUGACGCUGAGGUGCGAAAGCGUGGGGAGCAAACAGG
rnacentral:rRNA from 1 species